UGUCUGUUGAAUGUCUUCCAGAGACAAAACUCCCUUUCCCCACCGAAGCUGUCAUCGCUGCCGGGGUGGUCCUGUCACUCAUCGUUCUCUUCAGUUUUGCAGUUCGAUGGAAGAAGAUCGUACAGUGUUUCAAGAAAACCGAUCCUGCGAGCCACACCGCCCUGUAAAGGAAUUCUUACUCUGGAGCAACCUCUUAGCUGACCCGUGUGGCUUCAGAUGGCCAAUCUUUCCUCUCUGCAAGGAAACUCUUAGCGCCGUUGAACCGUUGCUUUGAUUUCGAACUUUAAAUAAAUCAAAUUUAUAACUUA